CGCCUGUUUAACAAAAACAUUUCCUUUAGAUUUUCUUAAAGGUAAUUUCUGCCCUAUGUUUUAUUCUAAAUGGCUGCAGUAUUUUGUCUGUUCAAAGUUAGCAUAAUAAAUAGUUUUUUAAUUGAAGGCUGGUAUGAAUGGAAAAUUUGAGAUACAUUUAUUAUUAAAUAUAUUUUUAUAAUUUAAAUUUUAAGUUAAAAUGCUUAAUUAAAUUCUUGGGACGAUAAGACCCUAUAGAACUUUAUAUAAUAUUUUUAGUAUAUUUUUAUUAUUAUAUUUUGUUAGUAAUAUUUAUGUUUUACUGGGGUGGUAAAUAAAUAAAAACUUUAUUAAUAAAAUUCAUUAUAAUUGUUAAUAUUAAUCUUUAAUAGAAAAUUAAGAUAAAGUUACCUUAGGGAUAACAGCGUAAUUAUAAUGGAAAGUUCAUAUUUAUAUUAUUUUUUGCGACCUCGAUGUUGAAUUAAGGUAAAUUUCAAGAAGCAGUAUUCUUUAGAUUAAGUCUGUUCGACUUUUAAAUCCUUACUUGAUCUGAGUUCAGACCGG
rnacentral:rRNA from 1 species